CACCGCGGUUAUACGGGUGGCCCAAGUUGACAGACACCGGCGUAAAGCGUGGUUAAGAGACACUAAGACUAAAGCCGAACGCCCUCAAAGCAGUUAUACGCAUCCGAAGGUAUGAAGCCCCACCACGAAAGUGGCUUUACAAAGUCUGACUCCACGAAAGCUAUUAAA
rnacentral:rRNA from 1 species